rnacentral:rRNA from 1 species
CAAAGGGCGCACGGUGGAUGCCUUGGCACUAGGAGCCGAUGAAGGACGGAACUAAUACCGAUAUGCUUCGGGGAGCUAUAAGUAAGCUUUGAUCCGGAGAUUUCCGAAUGGGGGAACCCAGUACACAUCAGUGUAUUGCUUGUCAGUGAAUACAUAGCUGGCCGGCGGCAGACGCGGGGAACUGAAACAUCUCAGUACCCGCAGGAAGAGAAAGAAAACUCGAUUCCCAUAGUAGCGGCGAGCGAAGUGGGAAGAGCCCAAACCGAGAAGCUUGCUUCUCGGGGUUGUAGGACUGGACAUUGGAGUUACCAAAGUCCGACGUAGUCGAAGUCAGCUGGAAAGCUGCGCCACAGAAGGUGAAAGCCCUGUAAGCGAAACGUCGAACCCUCCGUCCAGGAUCCUGAGUACGGCGGAACACGUGAAAUUCCGUCGGAAUCCGGGAGGACCAUCUCCCAAGGCUAAAUACUCCCUAGUGACCGAUAGUGAACCAGUACCGUGAGGGAAAGGUGAAAAGCACCCCGGAAGGGGAGUGAAACAGUUCCUGAAACCGUGUGCCUACAAUUAGUCAAAGCCCGUUAAUGGGUAAUGGCGUGCCUUUUGUAGAAUGAACCGGCGAGUUACGUUUGCUUGCGAGGUUAAGAUGAAAAGUCGGAGCCGUAGCGAAAGCGAGUCUGAACAGGGCGAAUGAGUAAGCAGAUGUAGACCCGAAACCAAGUGACCUACCCAUGACCAGGUUGAAGGUGUGGUGAAACACACUGGAGGACCGAACCCAUGUAUGUUGAAAAAUGCUGGGAUGAGUUGUGGGUAGCGGUGAAAUUCCAAACGAACUUGGAGAUAGCUGGUUCUCUCCGAAAUAGCUUUAGGGUUAGCCUCGGAGGAUGGAUCAUGGAGGUAGAGCACUGUUUGAACUAGGGGCCCAUCAAGGGUUACUGAAUUCAGAUAAACUCCGAAUACCAUCGAUCUUACUCCGGGAGUCAGACAGUGAGCGAUAAGGUCCAUUGUCGAAAGGGGAACAGCCCAGAUCACCAGUUAAGGUCCCUAAAUUUAUGCUAAGUGGAAAAGGAUGUGGCGUUGCACAGACAACUAGGAUGUUGGCUCAGAAGCAGCCACCAUUUAAAGAGUGCGUAAUAGCUCACUAGUCGAGUGGCACUGCGCCGAAAAUAUACCGGGGCUAAGCAUAAUACCGAAACUGUGGGUGCACCCGUAAGGGUGCGCGGUAGGAGAGCGUUCUAAGGGCGUUGAAGGUCGAUCGUGAGGACGGCUGGAGCGCUUAGAAGUGAGAAUGCCGGCAUGAGUAGCGAAAGAUCAGUGAGAAUCUGAUCCACCGUAUGACUAAGGUUUCCUGGGGAAGGCUCGUCCUCCAGGGUUAGUCGGGAUCUAAGGCGAGGCCGAGAGGCGUAGUCGAUGACAAGCAGGUUGAGAUUCCUGCACUAGUUUAUUUUGUUUAAGCGAUGGAGGGACGCAGGAGGCUAAGGAAAGCGCACGGCUGGAAAUGUGCGCCCAAGCAGCAAGUCUGACAGCGAGUGAAAUGCUUGCAGUCUUAAGGACAAGCUGUGAUGGGGAGCGAAAUUAUAGUAGCGAAGUUCCUGAUGUCACACUGCCAAGAAAAGCUUCUAGUGAGAAAUAAACUACCCGUACCGCAAACCGACACAGGUAGUCGAGGAGAGUAUCCUCAGGUGAGCGAGCGAACUCUCGUUAAGGAACUCGGCAAAAUGACCCCGUAACUUCGGAAGAAGGGGUGCUGACCGCAAGGUCAGCCGCAGUGAAUAGGCCCAAACAACUGUUUAUCAAAAACACAGGUCUCUGCUAAAUCGUAAGAUGAUGUAUAGGGGCUGACGCCUGCCCGGUGCUGGAAGGUUAAGAGGAUGAGUUAGCGCAAGCGAAGCCCAGAAUUGAAGCCCCAGUAAACGGCGGCCGUAACUAUAACGGUCCUAAGGUAGCGAAAUUCCUUGUCGGGUAAGUUCCGACCCGCACGAAAGGCGUAAUGAUUUGGGCACUGUCUCAACGAGAGACUCGGUGAAAUUAUAGUACCCGUGAAGAUGCGGGUUACCCGCGACAGGACGGAAAGACCCCAUGGAGCUUUACUGUAGCUUGAUAUUGAGUGUUUGUACCGCUUGUACAGGAUAGGUAGGAGCCGUAGAGAUCGGAACGCUAGUUUCGAUGGAGGCGUUGGUGGGAUACUACCCUAGCUGUAUGAACACUCUAACCCGCGCCACUAAUCGUGGCGGGAGACAGUGUCAGGUAGGCAGUUUGACUGGGGCGGUCGCCUCCUAAAAUGUAACGGAGGCGCCCAAAGGUUCCCUCAGAAUGGUUGGAAAUCAUUCGCAGAGUGUAAAGGUAUAAGGGAGCUUGACUGCGAGACUGACAAGUCGAGCAGGGACGAAAGUCGGGCUUAGUGAUCCGGUGGUUCCGUAUGGAAGGGCCAUCGCUCAACGGAUAAAAGCUACCCUGGGGAUAACAGGCUUAUCUCCCCAAGAGUCCACAUCGACGGGGAGGUUUGGCACCUCGAUGUCGGCUCAUCGCAUCCUGGGGCUGUAGUCGGUCCCAAGGGUUGGGCUGUUCGCCCAUUAAAGCGGUACGCGAGCUGGGUUCAGAACGUCGUGAGACAGUUCGGUCCCUAUCCGUCGCGGGCGCAGGAAAUUUGAGAGGAGCUGUCCUUAGUACGAGAGGACCGGGAUGGACGUUCCGCUGGUGUACCAGUUGUGCCGCCAGGCGCAUCGCUGGGUAGCUAUGAACGGCAGGGAUAAACGCUGAAAGCAUCUAAGUGUGAAGCCCCCUCGAGAUGAGAUUUCCCAUUCCUAUAUGGAAGUAAGACCCCUGAGAGAUGAUCAGGUAGAUAGGCUGGAAGUGGAAGUGCAGCGAUGCAUGGAGCGGACCAGUACUAAUCGGUCGAGGACUUAACC